rnacentral:rRNA from 1 species
GUAGUCAUAUGCUUGUCUCAAAGAUUAAGCCAUGCAUGUCUAAGUAUAAGCAACUUUGUACUGUGAAACUGCGAAUGGCUCAUUAAAUCAGUUAUAGUUUAUUUGAUGGUUUUUGCUACAUGGAUAACUGUGGUAAUUCUAGAGCUAAUACAUGCAUUCAAGCCCCGACUUCUGGAAGGGGUGUAUUUAUUAGAUAAAAAUCAACUUUGUUGGUGAAUCAUAAUAACUUCUCGGACCGCAUGGCCUCGUGCUGGCGGUGCUUCAUUCAAAUAUCUGCCCUAUCAACUGUCGAUGGUAGGAUAGAGGCCUACCAUGGUUGCAACGGGUAACGGGGAAUAAGGGUUCGAUUCCGGAGAGGGAGCCUGAGAAACGGCUACCACAUCCAAGGAAGGCAGCAGGCGCGCAAAUUACCCAAUCCCGACACGGGGAGGUAGUGACAAUAAAUACUGAUACAGGGCUCUUUUGGGUCUUGUAAUCGGAAUGAGUACAAUUUAAAUCCCUUAACGAGGAACAAUUGGAGGGCAAGUCUGGUGCCAGCAGCC